rnacentral:rRNA from 1 species
AUUGAACGCUGGCGGCAGGCCUUACACAUGCAAGUCGAACGGCAGCACGGGUGCUUGCACCUGGUGGCGAGUGGCGAACGGGUGAGUAAUACAUCGGAACGUACCUUAUCGUGGGGGAUAACGCAGCGAAAGUUGCGCUAAUACCGCAUACGCCCUGAGGGGGAAAGCGGGGGACCGUAAGGCCUCGCGCGAUUAGAGCGGCCGAUGUCUGAUUAGCUUGUUGGUGAGGUAAAAGCUCACCAAGGCGAUGAUCAGUAGCUGGUCUGAGAGGACGAUCAGCCACACUGGGACUGAGACACGGCCCAGACUCCUACGGGAGGCGGCAGUGGGGAAUUUUGGGCAAUGGGGGCAACCCUGAUCCAGCAAUGCCGCGUGAGUGAAGAAGGCCUUCGGGUUGUAAAGCUCUUUUGUCAGGGAAGAAACAGCAGCUCUAACACAGUCUGCGAAUGACGGUACCUGAAGAAUAAGCACCGGCUAACUACGUGCCAGCCGCCGCCGUAA